CAAAAAUCAUAAAGUCAUAUUUCUUUUACACCCUGUCCUUUAUAUUGUUUCAAGAUGAGAUUUUACUGUCACUGUUCAUCAAUGCAAAUUUUGUAGGUAGUCAUUUAAGUGAAUUUGACAAACAGAUAAGAAUGAAAUUUUGAUGCAGAAUGCAGUCAGGAUUUAACGUUUUCAUGGGCUUUUAUUUAUUUAAAUCUUUGGAUUAGAUUCAACUGUUUAUACUUUAAAUACCAAUUUUGUUACCCUUACAUAUAUUAUGACAAUAAAAGAAACAUUUGAUGGCAAAAACUUCUGUUUAUAACCUGUAAACAAUACACUGUACUGUUACAAAGACAUGUAUAAAUCUCAUUUUAAUACAUUGCCUUCAUAAAUAUAAAACAAUAAUAUUCAAAAUCGACUAGAGAACUUUAAGAUUAACAAAUAUACAAAUAUAAACAUAAUAAUGACUAACUAAUAUUAAUUAGUCCUGUAGAGACUUCAAAGACUUCAAAAAAUCAUGAAAGAACAGAAAGGUUUAAGGGAAAUUUAAGGUGCAAAAGCAAUUCAGUUGGCUAAUCAAGCUGAAAAUACCUGAAUAUUAAUGCAUCACUUUGAUGUCAUGCUUUGAAGCUAUGGUAAAAAUGAU
rnacentral:lncRNA from 1 species